UUUCCGUAGGUGAACCUGCGGAAGGAUCAUUAUUGAAUAUUCUUGAUGGGUUGUAGCUGGCUCUUAGGGGCAUGUGCACACUUGUCUUGACUUUAUUCAUCCACCUGUGCACCCUUUGUAGUCUUGGGGGUUGAGAGCAAUCGACUAUCGGAUGGCUAUGGCUUUUCCGGACAUGAGGAUUGCUGAGUGCGCAAGCAUACAGCUCUUCUCAAAUGGCUUGCAAAACCUCUCCCUCGAGUACUAUGUAUUCAUAUACCACGUAGUAUGUUGAAGAAUGUGAUCAAUGGGCCUAUGUGCCUAUAACAAUCAUAUACAACUUUCAGCAACGGAUCUCUUGGCUCUC
rnacentral:misc_RNA from 1 species